rnacentral:rRNA from 1 species
UUUAAUGGCCAUACCACCCUGAAAGGCGCCCGAUCUCUUUUGAUCUUAGAAGCUAAACAGGGUCAGCCCGGGGUUAGUACUGGCCGGGCGCGGUGGCUC